UGAGGAACAUGACUUUCGGCGGGGGAUAGCCGGCCCAACGGCCGGGUAAUACCGCGUACGACCUUUUGGGGACAUCCCCGAUUGGUGAAAGCAGCAAUGCGCCGAUGGAGUGCCUCGCGGCCUAUCAGCUAGUUGGUGAGGUAACGGCUCACCAAGGCGACGACGGGUAGCUGGUCUGAGAGGAUGGCCAGCCACAUUGGGACUGAGACACGGUCCAGACCUCCGUACGGGGAG
rnacentral:rRNA from 1 species